rnacentral:lncRNA from 1 species
UAUCUUUUUCCAAGGAAAAUGGUUUGAGUGAUUCUUGCCAAUACUGUUUUAGAGUAAAAUAUUUUUGAUUUUCUUUUUCUUCUCUCAAGUGGCUAAAUUGCUUUUUGUCAUAAACCAGUUUUGAUGGGAAGCAGAAUUUCAUCCUUCAUCUUGAAGACUAAAAAAGCACAAAAGGAAAGGAAUAUAUGUUGAGUCAUCUACUCAGAUAAUAUAUAUAUAUAUAUAUAUAUAUAUAAUUAUUUAACAGAUUUUAAUGCUUCCAUUGUUAAAUCAAAUUAUGGUUGUGGGCCUCAGUUGAACAUUGCCUGAAGCUUACAAAAUAUUCUUCUAAGAACAUACAUCAAUUUCCUAGCCAUUUAAGCGAAGAAAUCAAUAUUUCUUAAUCAAAUUGUAAACUUUUUACAUUACCACUGCAAGUAAAAAAUGAUGAUGUAAACAGUGAAAGUAACACACACACACAAAUAUAAUAAAUUUCUGCUUUCACUUUAAUGCUUCAAUAUGGGUUUUACAUGAGCUUUACACUAUCACCAUCUUUCAACUAGCUUUUUGAAAUGUGAUUUCUCCUAAAUUCAAAUAAAAACCAAAAAAAAAACCAGAAAACUCAGUUGACAAGCCCACCACUCUCUUCAAGCAUCUAUUAGUUUUAUUUCUUCUUCUAUCAUUCGUUAGACCAGGAAGAAUUCCAUGCAUAUUAAUUUCAUCCAACCCAACACCGUUUGCAAAUGAGAUCUGAAUUUAUGUUCUAUAUAAUAGUGCAUGUAUUUCAUCGUGAAUCAAUUUUUCAUUUCCUAAUAAUUUUCAUGGCAUUUAUGAUGCAUGUCCUGAAGUCAAACAAAAUCAGAUUGCUCUUUUCAAUCAGAUUUCUUUAUUCCCAUCGUGAAUAUUGUCAUGGAAGCACUUAAAUUCUCCUUUUGAAGAAUAAAUCUCAAAACUGAUAUUCUAACCAUGUUUUGCCAUGUCGGGCAAAAAAGAGAGAAAAAGAGAUUCCCCGUUUCAGAAUGAUAUGAGAGAGGAUUUUACCAUCCACAGGAUUAGUUAUGAGACCUCUCGUGUCAAUGCUCAACAAAUGACGUCUUAUUCUUGCGGUGGCACAAACCUUAUGUUACAGAAUCUAUUUACUAACAAAAUUUUGGAGUCUAUCUUCGAUUGAAGUUCAUCAAAUCAAUUUUUGACAGUCAAGAUAAUUUGAUGUAAAUGCCACAUCGCAAGGAUAAAAACCCGCACGGGAUAUUGUUCAAAUGGAAACAUAACUAUAACUACUGUUCAUUUAUAUGAUUAUUUUUCAUCACUAUUUACUUGUUGAGAUUUGGAGAAUCAUAGCUUAUAGAAGGAUAAGCUUUGUUGAAAAUAUGUCUGUAAAGCUUUUAACAAGAGAAUGAAUCCGCUGGAUAUUUCACAAUAGCAUAUUUUAUGAAAUUUGGGAUUGUGUAAAGCAGUUCAUAAAAUAUGAGUUUGAUUUUUGGUUAACUGGAUCCAUAACUUUUAGUGCGUUGAAAAGAAUUCCUGCUGCCAAUUUAACCGCAGUCAGCUCGAAAUUCUAAUAUUUACCAGAAUAUGUGUGAUGCUAUUGCUAGCUGUCGUUCACUUUCAUAAUCUUCCAGGUACCAAGCAAAAACAGACGAAGACGCGUAUUCAGUUGAGCUUCAGGCAUCUCUUCUCCUUUAUUUUCAUUCUCUGACAUAUCAACAUUUU